GAUGAACGCUGGCGGCGUGCCUAACACAUGCAAGUCGAACGGAAAGGCCCUGCUCUUGUGGGUUGCUCGAGUGGCGAACGGGUGAGUAACACGUGUGUAACCCGCCCCUGUAUUUGGGGUAACUUCUGGAGACAGGGGCUCUUACCGCAGAGGAGCUCCUGCAGCACGGUGGGGGUUGGUAAGAUUCGGCGUUUGUGGAUAGACUCGCGGCUUAUCAGCUUGUUGGUGGGGUAGUGGCGUUCCAAGGUUUUGACGGGUAGCCGGCGUGUGAGGGUGACCAGCCACAUUGGGACUGAGAGACGGCCCAGACUCCUACGGGAGGCAGCAGUGGGGAAUAUUGCGCAGUGGGCGGAAGCCUGUUGCAGCAGCGCCGCGUGCGGGAUGACGGCCUUCGGGUUGUGAACCGAUUUCGCCUGUGACGAAGCCUGAGUGACGGUAAUGGGUAAAGAAGCACCGGCUAACUACGUG
rnacentral:rRNA from 1 species